GGAAAGGAAGCUAGAUAUUCUAGGUUCCUUUAUUGCACAUUCUGUUUAAUCUAAAAAUGUCAUCUCCUGUUUGCCUGCUAGACCCUGUAGAAGCCUACUGUGUUUGAUCAAAUGUAAAUUUACAGAGCAUUAAAUAAAAACCUCUAAAGUAAGUUAACAACUGAUUGAAAAAUAAAUCCAUUCCCCCUAACUCCCCAUGCAUUCUGUGUGUGUCGCAGCCAGGUAAGGUGUGGUAGGGCUACAUAAACAAGUGAUUUAAAUUCUAAAUGACAGAGAAAUUAGCAGUUUAGCAGACUAUUGCAGUAGUUUUGAUGUCUAUAAUAUCUCUUUAAAGAUUGCUCCACAACACACAAUCGUACAGUUUAUCAACAAUAAACAUGCCUACUCAAUUCACUUAGGAAUAACUGGAGCUCUGUAUGUUGUCCAACAUAUAUGUGGUGGUCUGGCUGUGUGCCAACAAACUCAGGGUUUUUCACAAAACUCAAAUGGAUAUAAUUUUACAGAGACAGAAUAUUACAUAUGUUGUUUCUCCUAUAGUCCAUACCAGCAGAACCGCUUUCUUAUAACUACAUUUGUAUUUACCUAAAUUUCAUCUCCUCUUCUCUCUCUCUUUUUUUUAAAUACCACUUUGUUUUACUAUUGUUUCUUACCCUUAUUUAACCAUUCUCCUCUUUUCUACUCAGGUACGUAAGAUCGCUGCUGAAUACUACGACAAUCUCCCAUACCAUACAUCGUGGGGACGAGUACUCUGGGAUUUCAUAUUCUGCAAAGAAUUGGGACCAUUCUCUCGUGUUAAGAGAGAGUGUGAACUUGCAAAAAAGGACUAAAAAUAAACUGAAAAAAAUUAUUUAUUUCACUCUCGCGUGUAUAGAUAAUGAUAAUUUAGGAAACUAUAUUAACUGUAUACACUCUUUUUUUUUUAAAAAAAUUGGCAUUCAUUUUUAAUAGUUCAAGCAUUUAAAAGGCAGAAUUAUUAAACAUAUUAAACCCCAUAAUGCACAAUUGGCCCUAACAAGCAAUUGCCCAUGAACAGUCUAUUCAGUUGCCUCAUUAUUGGGCCGUUUCCCCCUGCCUGCAUAUUGGCUCAGGACAAGCUGCGUUUAGGCUAACAAAGGUUACUUGGAAAUUUCUACCAAGAUCGCCUUAUAUAUUUUUUUUCAUCCACUGCUUUAAAAGUAUUUUCCCGAAUUGUAUAAAAUUCUUCUGUAAAGGUAUCCACUUAACACUGUUAAAAUGAAGUGCCAAUGUAUCAGUCUGUGGCUUAUGGCCACCUUACAAUUAAUAUACAUAAAAAUGUUCAAUAUCCUUAUGGGUUAUCCGACAACCUAAUAGAACAAUUGUCCUAGUAAAAAUGCACUAUGAUUAUUUAGUAUAAAGGAAUGACCAAGAAGGGGUAAAAAAUCUCUAUAUGUGCAUGUAAACUGUACACAUCAGUGAUUGUUUACCUUGACACUGCAGAUAUUUCUGAACGACAUACCCAUGACAAUCAGCUAGCCUUUAGGCAAAUAAAUAUCCUUAGUGCCUAGGUAAGCAAUUACUGCUGUAACUUUUUCACAUUUGUAUCAGUACUUUAUUUGUGGAGUACGGUAUUUUGCUGCUUUGUAUCUUAAUAUGUUCCACCGAUUAUACCACUUCUUCAUGGCAUUGUUUUAUCUAUGAUCUGUCACGGGGAAGCCUUGCAGGCCAUGGUAACAACUUCUCUGAGCAUCAAAUGGAUUAAUGAAGAAUGUUUUUUACGUUUUUCUUUUGAUCUGGUGCUCACUAUUGUCAGUCUACAUCCUAUCCAUUAGUACUUUUUGUUCUUCUUUCUACUCUGUGAAUUCAUAGCUUCUUAAUCUCUGAUAGAUCUUCUGCAUUCUGAAUUACCACUAAGUGACUUUACUAAUAUGGGCUCCUCCAGAGAUUUCUCUAAGAGCUUGUACAGCAAUCACGCACACUGCUCAGGUAUCAUAAUUUAUUAAGCUGGUUGACAAUUUUCAUAGAAUCUACCUAGCUGUUGUUCUUUAUUUCAUGAAUAGUUAUAAUAUUUUUCUUGGAUAAAAAUACUCGUGCACUGUACAGCUGGGGUUUUUUAAAACACCAUCUAUACAAUAUAUUAUGAUUCUUUCCAAUAAUGUGUUUUUUACUCUACCCUAAAAUGAAGUGAUUGAGGAAAAAAUAUUUUUGAUUUUGUUAGUAGGGUAAAAAUGAAUUCCCUAUAAAUGCUACCUUAAAUACAAAGGGUGUAUCUAAUAAAUAGUACGUUGUGAAGCAAUGACAAAUGAAGAUCAAAAUAAAUCUGAGUUGGAAAAUAAGUCAUUUAGCAGCUCACCAAAACUCACUGUUUAUUGAACGCCCUUAUAACACUUGAAAGUAACUACACCUUGUAAUGACGUGACUUAACACUGAAUGCAUUGUAGUAUUUGCAAUAUUGAAAUACUAGUCAUUUAAUUUUUAUAUGCAACAAUAAUUAUGUGAGUUUCAAACCAAAUUACAGUAAAAGAUGCAUACCAUUACACAUAUAUAAAAUAUUAUACAUGGGAACUGUAUGCUUCGCUUUCACUAAGAGAUCUUAAAAAAUGACUUUCUGAAUCAAAACAUUGCUUUGACAUCCGUACACUUUUUGAUUAGUAUAUUGGCUGCACCAGACCAUUUAUCUACGGUCUCCUAAUUACAUGAAUGAGAUCUGAUCUUAGUGCACUAAUUAUGAAACUGUCUCCCAACAAAUUUAAGUGACUUACCGAUCUAUAUUGAGUGAAUACAUUACAUUAAUAAUGCCGAAUUCUGGGUGACUUAUGCAUCAUCCCAGGGCAGUGCAAAUUUUGAGGCACUGCCGGGGAGUUAUAAAGGAUUCAGAAAAUGUGGUGGUGGCAGGCCAAUGAUUAGGGCAAAAUGGCAAGUAGGUUCAGCGUAGGCUUGUUUUGUAGUGCUAGGGCAGGGAGAUAAAAUUAUUUGUGGUCCUGGGGACCAGUGAUGGAAUGUAUUGUUCCUUCCCUUAUAGGCAGAAUAUAAGCUAUUUCAAACUCUUUCUACUUAGAUUUUGCUCUGAAGGUGUUUGGGAGUUGGAAAAACACAAGUCAGUAAUUUGAUAACUUACCUCGGGAGGCCACUAGGCGGGAUUGGAGAUCGGUGUUGCAGGAUGCUCUACUUUUUAAGUGACUUCACAUGUGUGGGCUUAAACGUGUAUGAAUUAUGUAUGUUUUUAAGUUAUAGUUUUCAGUAUAAUGUAUAUGGCUAUGUGUGUGGAAAGGUAUUUCUAAGACUUGUUUAAGGAUUUCAUCAUGUUUAUGCAAAAUUGAUUCCACAUGACAAAGAAGAUAUAUAAAAAUGAAGAUAUAUAACAUUUAAACAAAGCCUUACAUUGUGUAAUGUAAUAUAAAGAAUCUGGUUUGCAAAAUUAUUUGUGUUUACAACUUUUAUUAUUGGAAUAAAGUUUUCUAUAUGUUUAUAAUUA
rnacentral:lncRNA from 1 species